CCCUUAGAUGUUCUGGGCCGCACGCGCGCUACGCUGAUGAAUUCAACGAGCACUAACCUGUGCCGAAAGGUUCGGGUAAUCUUGUGAAAUUUCAUCGUGAUGGGGAUUGAUUAUUGCAAUUUUUAAUCAUAAACGAGGAAUGCCUAGUAAGCGUGAGUCAUCAGCUCACGUUGAUUACGUCCCUGCCCUUUGUACACACCGCCCGUCGCUCCUACCGAUUGAAUGUGCCAGUGAAAAGUUCGGAUUGGAGAUAGGAGACGGCAACGUAUCCUAUUUCCGAGAAAAUCUUUAAACUUUCCCAUUUAGAGGAAGGAGAAGUCGUAACA
rnacentral:rRNA from 1 species